AUAUAAAUACACGAUAAUAAUGGCAGGUAGAGGUGAGAAAAUAAAAAUGUUAUU
rnacentral:guide_RNA from 1 species